rnacentral:lncRNA from 1 species
GAACCUCCUCUCUCCGGCUUCAAUCUUCUCUCACUCAGGCCAGAUCCGAGCCUUCACCGGCCGGAUCCGACCUUCUUGAAGUCACUUGCCGCCUGCCUUCCCCGAAGUCUCUCGGUGGAGGGUGGGCUGAGAUCGCGACUCGAGUUCUCUCCCGCGCUCGCCCUUCAAUCCUUCCUGAUGUCUCUCAGUGAAGGAUCUCCGAGCUUGC